rnacentral:rRNA from 1 species
UACGUAGGGUGCAAGCGUUGUCCGGAAUUAUUGGGCGUAAAGAGCUCGUAGGCGGUCUGUCGCGUCUGCUGUGAAAACUCAGGGCUUAACCCUGAGCUUGCAGUGGGUACGGGCAGACUAGAGUGCGGUAGGGGAGACUGGAAUUCCUGGUGUAGCGGUGAAAUGCGCAGAUAUCAGGAGGAACACCGAUGGCGAAGGCAGUGGUCUGGGCCGAUACUGACGCUGAGGAGCGAAAGCGUGGGGAGCGAACAGG